ACAGCCUGGUGCCUGACUCCUGCACAUGGUGGUAGAAAUAAAACACUGGAUGCUCCAUGGUGAAGGAUUGUCAGAGGAGGACACGCCCCGCCCAGGUUCCUACAAUAUAGGAUCCUCUCAGUGGAUAUCUUCUAUAUGACAUCAAUCUCCUGAUUGACCCUUCAAGGAUGGAUAGGGACAGGGACAAGAUGGCGGAGAGUAUAAUAAAUCUCACCCUAGAGAUCCUCUUCUGGCUUACUGGAGAGGACUACACAGUAGUGAAGAAGACCUCUAGUGAGCGCUGUCAGGACCCUGUGUCUGAAGG